GACGUAGGGUCCAAGCGUUGUCCGGAUUUACUGGGCGUAAAGAGCGCGUAGGCGGUCUGUUAAGUGUAGAGUGAAAUCUCCAGGGCUCAACCCGGAAACUGCUCUGCAUACUGGCAGACUGGAGUGAUGCAGAGGUUUGUGGAAUUCCUGGUGUAGCGGUGAAAUGCGUUGAUAUCAGGAGGAACACCCAUGGCGAAGGCAGCAAACUGGGCAUUAACUGACGCUGAGGCGCGAAAGCGUGGGUAGCAAGCAGG
rnacentral:rRNA from 1 species